UACGGAGGGUGCGAGCGUUGUCCGGAAUCACUGGGCGUAAAGGGCGCGUAGGCGGCGCGGGCAGUCAACGGUGAAAGCUUGGGGCUCAACCCCGAGUCGGCCGUCGAUACUCCCGGGCUGGAGCACUGUAGAGGCAGGUGGAAUUCCGGGUGUAGCGGUGGAAUGCGUAGAGAUCCGGAAGAACACCGGUGGCGAAGGCGGCCUGCUGGGUUCUGGCUGACACUGAGGCGCGACAGCGUGGGGAGCAAACAGG
rnacentral:rRNA from 1 species